rnacentral:tRNA from 1 species
GGCCCCGUAGCUCAGUUGGAUAGAGCACCUCAUUCCUAAUGAGGGGGUCAGAAGUUCGAAUCUUCUCGGGGUCACCA